rnacentral:tRNA from 1 species
GACCCCGUAGCUCAGUGGAUAGAGCGCUUCGCUACGGACGAAGAAGUCGGCGGUUCGAGUCCGUCCGGGGUCG